GAUGAACGCUGGCGGCGUGCUUAACAUAUGCAAGUCGAACGAUGAAGCCCAGCUUGCUGGGUGGAUUAGUGGCGAACGGGUGAGUAACACGUGAGUAGCCUGCCCUUAACUCUGGGAUAAGCCUGGGAAACUGGGUCUAAUACCGGAUAGGAGCGUCCACCGCAUGGUGGGUGUUGGAAAGAUUUAUCGGUUUUGGAUGGACUCGCGGCCUAUCAGCUUGUUGGUGAGGUAAUGGCUCACCAAGGCGACGACGGGUAGCCGGCCUGAGAGGGUGACCGGCCACACUGGGACUGAGACACGGCCCAGACUCCUACGGGAGGCAGCAGUGGGGAAUAUUGCACAAUGGGCGCAAGCCUGAUGCAGCGACGCCGCGUGAGGGAUGACGGCCUUCGGGUUGUAAACCUCUUUCAGUAGGGAAGAAGCGAAAGUGACGGUACCUGCAGAAGAAGCACCGGCUAACUACGU
rnacentral:rRNA from 1 species